rnacentral:rRNA from 1 species
UACGAAGGGUGCAAACGUUGCUCGGAAUUAUUGGGCGUAAAGCGCACGUAGGCGGCUUUGCAAGUCCCAUGUGAAAUCCCACGGCUUAACCGUGGAAGUGCAUGGGAAACUGCAGAGCUUGAGUACUUAAGAGGAUCGCGGAAUUCCCGGUGUAGAGGUGAAAUUCGUAGAUAUCGAGAGGAACACCUGCGGCGAAGGCGGGUUGCUGGGCUGAUACUGACGCUGAGGCGCGAAAGCCAGGGGAGCGAACGGG